GGUAAUCACCACUCCACAAGAAAUCUCCUCAGAGAUAACAAUGUAUCCAGUAAAUCCUAUUGGAGAGGAGAGAAAUUGGAGGUUUUAAAAGAAGCAGAAAGGAGGCUGCAAAACCCAGGCUUUAGGUGACUAAAGCUGCGAUGAUGACAAUGGAGAGGGAAAAAAUGUCGAGAUUGGGGGUGUCUACCCAAACUGGAGUUUUGAUCUCAUUCUAUAGAAGAAAGAGCUCCAGAAGAGAGAAGAGAAAAGAGAGAAAUGGCUAGAGUCUUAAGGAGUACAAAGGAGAAUAUUAGGCAAGAUUAGUAGGAUAUGUGAAAUUUUGAAGUCUCAAUGAAUUUUAUGAUGUUUUAUCACAGACUGUAGUAUAAACACAAGCCACCAACCACUUCCCCAUCCCUCUAUUUCUACCUUUAUAUGAGACUUCAGUCAUCACUUAACGUUAUUUUCCAAUUUGUGGGCGAGUCGAAUAUGUGUUUCUCUGUAAUGUGAUACUUUGUAGAGUUGUGCCCCACAAGAGUGACCUUCAAAGCACAGAUUUAUCUUUCUUUAUACAUGUGCCAAUUAUUAUUAUUAUUUUAUUUAUUUAUUUAUUUAUUUAUUUAUUUAUUUAUUUUGGGGUGUGUUGGGUCUUCGUUUCUGUGCGAGGGCUUUCUCUAGUUGAGGCGAGCAGGGGCCACGCUUCAUGGCAGUGCACGGGCCUCUCACUGCCGCGGCCUCUCUUGUUGCAGAGCACAGGCUCCAGAGGCGCAGGCUCAGUAGUUGUGGCUCACGGGCCUAAUUGCUCCGCGGCAUGUGGGAUCCUCCCAGACCAGGGCUCGAACCCGUGUCCCCUGCAUUGGCAGGCAGACUCUCAACCACUGUGUCACCAGGGAAGCCUCCAAUUAUUUUUAAAUGCUAUAAACCCACCAGCCUUGUCUAUACUUACUGAAUACCAAACAACUGGGUAAAAAUUGAUGGGAGUUUGAUCAAAUAUUCAGAUAUUUCCUUUCCACCGUUCCAAACAUAUGUAGAAUUUUUGAAAGAUUUUGCAACUUUUUUCCCCUCCUAUGUCAUCCAAAUGUUCAGCAUUAUUCUAACAUCCUCCGUAGCGCCAAUAAAGUAGUCAUUCCAAUAGGUAGUUUAAUGGUUAAAUGGUUAUCUGUUAAAUAGGUUUUUUUCAGAAAUGGCUCCAACAUAAAUACAACUGGAAAAGUGACCGUGGCCAUUCCUAAUAGAGCUUAGUUCAAGCUUUCUGGUUUUACUCAUAAAGACAGAUCUUCAGGUCCUAAACCAUGUGUGUUCCUGUUCCUAUUCUAAAGGCUCUGUGAAGCAGAGCACAGGAUGCAGGGGUUUAUCAUUAGGUGGCAAUUAAAUUGGAGAGGUUGUUUUAUCAGUCUGCUCUAUGAAUUUUUGCUUGUCCCCAUGUGAAUCAAUUUCCAUAAAUCUAUUUAAACCAAUAACUUUAUAAUCAUAGAGAAGAGAAAACUGCCAUCAAUUCCAAAACAUGUUGUUAGAUUGCUCAUGCUUUUAGGUUUCAUCAUCUCUAUUAAAAUGUAU